GAAAUGCGAUAAGUAAUGUGAAUUGCAGAAUUCAGUGAAUCAUCGAAUCUUUGAACGCACAUUGCGCCCGCCAGUAUUCUGGCGGGCAUGCCUGUUCGAGCGUCAUUUCAACCAUCAAGCCCCCGGGCUUGUGUUGGGGACCUGCGGCUGCCGCAGGCCCCGAAAACCAGUGGCGGGCUCGCUGUCACACCGAGCGUAGUAGAUUCUCAUCUCGCUCAGGGCGUGCUGCGGGUUCCGGCCGUAAAACAGCCUUAUUUUACCCAAGGUUGACCUCGGAUCAGGUAGGAAGACCCGCUGAACUUAAGC
rnacentral:misc_RNA from 1 species